UACGAAGGGGGCUAGCGUUGCUCGGAAUCACUGGGCGUAAAGGGUGCGUAGGCGGGUCUUUAAGUCAGGGGUGAAAUCCUGGAGCUCAACUCCAGAACUGCCUUUGAUACUGAGGAUCUUGAGUUCGGGAGAGGUGAGUGGAACUGCGAGUGUAGAGGUGAAAUUCGUAGAUAUUCGCAAGAACACCAGUGGCGAAGGCGGCUCACUGGCCCGAUACUGACGCUGAGGCACGAAAGCGUGGGGAGCAAACAGGGAGU
rnacentral:rRNA from 1 species